rnacentral:tRNA from 1 species
GGCAGCGUAGCUCAGUGGUAGAGCGGUAUCUUCAUAAGAUAAUGGUCACAGGUUCAAAUCCUGUCGCUGCCACUA